AAUUUUUCUUAAACAUUAAGUAGAUUUAAUUGAGUAUAUGUUAAUGUGUAAUUUUUUAUUGUAAAGUUAUAUUUUAAAUAAUGCAGUUUUAAACUGGUCUUGAACAAUAUUUUUUAUUUUUGGAAUUUUAUUAGUUAUAAAUUUUAUAAGUGAUUGUAAAAUUUCAAAAAUUCAAAAACUCAAAAACUCCAAUAUAAACCCAAAUUUAAAAAAACCGUUUAAGCAAUAAGAAAAUAAUUGGACUAGAUUAAAAUCAAACUAGAAUUUUAGAAACAAAUAUCAUCGCCAAGUUAAAUCUAUAUAUAAUAGCAAACCUGUUUUUUUUAAGCCAUGAUGUUAUCCUUUUAUUAUAGGAAAAAAAAUCAAAAUCUAAGGGUGAGAAUGGUUUUGAGAAUAUAAUCCAACGGAUACAAUUUUAUUUAAGAUGAAGGGAAUGACGCCAUGACUCACAUUAGCAAUCGACGCCUCCAUCGCAUCUCCUCAAAAGCGUCCCAAAAAAAAAUUGCAGAAAUUAUUUCCAAGGGUUGCAUUUGUUUCACACACAGCUUUUGUAACGACCCAAAUUCUGGCUCAAAGAAUUCAGGCCGAGGCCCAAAACUUUUUUCAGAAGCCCAAAGUAUUUUGUUAUAAAAACUCACUUCUAUCUACUUUGGUUACUCAGAAACUUCAUACAAAAAAAAGAGUUAGAGAGAGGGUGAGCUAAGAGAAGAAGUGUGAUUAUUUUUACAGUGGGUCGCCGGAGCUCGUCGCCGGAGCAACCGUGUGCCCUGAUCACGUUCAGCUCGACACCACCGUUCGCAACCCUAGGUAACCACCGCAAAGCCGUCAUGCAUUUAGUUCAGUUUCGGCUGUUUUAGUAAAUCGAUCAUAUCUUCCUCACCGUUGAGAAUCUCGUGCAUGCAAGACCACCAUCGUGUUCCUCUCGGCGAGACAAAGCCGUAGACACCAACCACGCCGCAAUCCGAGCCCGUACGAAGCCGCUAGAGCCUCCCGAAGUUUCGCAUCCGUGCGCUCGAACACACGCACCGCCGCAGUCCGUCGGAGUCACCGCGCAUUCCGGCCACGCGCCGCCGUCUCCGACCGCAGUCGCUGGAGCCGCCGUGCUCGGCCACCGUCGGGAAGCCGCCGUCGCAUCGCCGCCGUACCUUCGCCGCCGCCGGUAACUUUCCCGAUAAGCCACCGCCCCUCUUCCAUCGCCGCCGGUGACCUGAGCCGGUGACUCGGCUGAGUCGACUCGGUGAGUCAACUGGUGACUCGGUCAACCGGUGGUUUGACUGGUUUAAUUGGUUUAAAUCUAUUUUGGUCUGGUUAGGUUAAACCGGUUGGUUAUUGAAAAUUGAUUUUGGUUAGAAGUAAACCGAUUAAUUAGGAUCUGGUUCAAUUGAAUUUGAAAUCGGUUAGGGUAACCGAUCGGUUAGGUCAAAUUGAUUUUUGGUCAAGAGUUGACCGGAUUGACCUUUGAUCAGUGAGUUGACUUUUCUCUAGACAUUGACCAGACCCGUUUUAAACCGUUCGAAAGGCGUUCUGCCUCGAUUUUUCGCCCUGAUUUCAGAUUUGGAGUCUAUUUGAGCAUCUAGAGUUCAUAGAUACCACUUCUUCUUGUUACUAAGGUGAGGGCUUCUCCGUUUAAAUCUCGAACUAGUUUAGUACUACCGUUAUGGAAAGUUCAGUUUCGAAACAUGAUCCGUCUCUGUGAAUCGAGUCUGUUUGAGUCUUGCUUGUUUAUUAUUAUUAUUGAUUGUUAAACCGGAAAUAUGAUAAUAGAGGAUUCAACGGUUGAUUGAAAUGAUUGAUGUUAAGAAUUGUUACAUAUAUGAAUAUAUAUAUAUGCGAGUCCAAGUGUGGAGAUUUGCGGGGUGCAGAGACGUCUGCACUGGCUGCCAUGUUUGUGGAGAUUAACGGGGGUACAGAGACGUUUGUACUUACGACGUCUUAGAGAUUUGCGGGGUGCAGCGUGGACUAUUGUGCUAGCGACGCACGUAGAGUUAUAUAUGUAUAUCCUUAUGAGGAGAAUGCAGGGUGCAGAGAAUAACUAUGUACUAACAUCGCAUUGUUUGUCGUUGUAUGGUGCAAUAGGCAUAUGAUUGUUCUGUGUGGUGUAACAGGCACUGUGAUUGUCUCAUGCUAGAGCUAGGCAUACAUAGUUGUAGUGCUAUGAACUGAAUCAGUGGUUUACGGUUUAGCAUCUCAUACCUUACUGGGCGAUUCCCCUGUCGCUCACCCCUCCUUCUUUCCCCCUUUCAGGUGAGACCGACGAGCCUGAGUGAUUUUUGGACCGGUGCUAUUGGGCUUUUGGGAAACAAUCGUUUUAUCGUGUUUAUCGUUAUCGGGCCUCUAGGCCUUCGGGCUUCUAUCGUUUAUGUUAUUUCCUAUUUCAGACUUCCGGAUUUAUGUCGUUUUUAUAUUUCGGAAUUAUGUUUUCUUUAUAUAUUUCGGACUUAUGUUGUUAUCAGUACUUUCAUUUUGACUUAUGGUAUCGUAUUGACUUUUAUAUUAUGAUAUGGAGAUUAUUAUUAUUAUUCUUUCGGUUUUAUUUAAUUAUUAUAUCCCGGGAAAAUCAGGUGUCACAGCUUUAUUGUUUAAGAGUUGUAUCUCUUCAGAAGUUUAUAUAUUGAAGCGGUUUUGCGAAGUUUACAUAUUACGAAUCCAACGUAACGGGGAACGAUAGGCUAGGGAAGCAUCGGUGGUUUAUCGAAGCAGGAUCUCUUCUUGUGGUUUCCGGUUAAAGGGAUCAGUGUGGACAUACCUUGCUCUGGCGAUAUAUAUUUCGAUGUCAGAGUUGUUCACAAGCGGUUCCAUGUCUUUGUUUGAGACUCUGAGAAAUUGUGUCGCUGUUGGAAGGAGGUUGAGUUUCGUGGGGACAGCAAGGUUAUGUAAUACAUUCGUGUAACUUUUCAUUUCAAAGCUCCGAUGUGAUGACGUAGCUCAGCUCAGCGAUGACCAACCACGACACUUUUACGGAUGGGUUCGAAGGUGUCGGCAACGGAGAAUGGAAGGACCGAGUGGUCGGAGCGGUGAGCAACUGUUUGGCGUUAUUCUUCGGCAGCGUCAAUGAUUUGAACGGAGUUACGGUCGUGAACAGAAAGUUACUUGGCGUAGAAGAAACAGAGGAGUUUCCGAGUUGGUUAAAGAGAGUAGACAGAGAGCUUCUCGGUACUCCGACGAUGGCGAUUCAAGCAGAUAUCACGGUGUCGAAAGACGGUAGUGGCACGGUUAAGACAAUCGCAGAGGCGAUCAAGAAAGCGCCGGAGCAAAUUAGCCGACGAUUCGUCAUCGACGUCAAGGCAUGAAGGUACGAAGAAGAAAAUCUCAAGGUUGGUAAGAAAAAAAAACAAACUUAAUGUUCAUCGGAGACGGCAAGGGUAAAACGGUCAAAAGUAUAUUAAGGUUCAUUGUUAAAUAUGCAUGUAGGAAAUGAGUGACUUUGUUAUACUAAUGUGUAUAUCCAUCUUGGGUUUUGUAUGCAGAUUCAAUCAUCUACGUUGCAAUUCUAUUAAGUAGAUCAAAGUGUUGAGAGAAACAUUGUAAGGGUUGACUAAUGGGUUUACAGUACAAGUUAGAAACUUUUAGCUGCUCAUGGUUUUCUGAAGACACUGACAGACAGACACACACUCCUUCCAUUUGAGGUUAGAUGCUCCUUUCUUCCCCCAAAUUGCUUUGAUCACUCUGUUUGAAGUGGAAAUGAUGAGAGAGUCUUCUGCGCAAGUUUAGAUGGGAAGAACAAGUAUUGGAUGGUUUUGUUUGAAAUUUCCAGAUUCAUCAUAUCACACGUGGACAUCGUGUGGUGUAAUUGAUCAUUCAAGAUUAAUGGUACCUUUCAAACGUUGUAACUAAGCGUAUAUUAUUAGGACAUCCAUAAAAAGGAAACCUCUGAUGUUAGCUAUAUGACGAUAAAUGUUUUGGAAUAGAAUAAAUAUUCAAGAAGAAGCAAAUGAGAAACAAGAAGAGAAAAAGGAUAGAGCACGUGUAGUAGAAUUAUGGAGUCGGAGUCGGAGCCAGCGAAAGAGGUUAUCACCGUGAUGGAUAAGCGUUGGGGGUGAGAGAUAUAAGGUUGUUGCCGUUAUAGCAUGAUGGUGUGGUUGUCAGAACGAGAUCAGAGCUAAGGCGAGAAGAAAACAAAGGUGGAGAAGAGGAAAAAGAGCACAGUUCUGAGAUUGGUUGUUGAGAGGAGGAUUUCGUUGAUAUUUGAGUUAAGGAGAAUAUACACGUAUUGAUUUUUAAAAUAGGAUAUGUCACGUAAACCAUAGAAACUGACGUGACUGCCAUCAAAGUUAAGACCUUGUGGUGAAGAACUUUCCUUCCUACGCAAGCAUCAGAUGCAACAGCUCAAAUCUGGGAGGUUCAACUUGUCUGUUGCAGCAAUUUCAAGAGAACGUGGAAGGUUCAUUUUUACGCCGAUAUGACUGAAAUUUUGAAUAGAUGUACAUGACACUUCAGAUUCAGGAUUCAACGGUGGGAUUGAGAAGUGGACGGUCAGUUUGUUAGUUAUUUGCAUCUUUAUGCAGUAUAAAACAGUGUAAUAUGUCUAACGAACUUAUUUUUACUUCUUAGGUAAGAUUAUUAUUUUGUUUAA